CGUGACUAAACAGGCCCUGCUAUUCAAUCAGAAGCUGUUCCAUGUUAGGAAUUAAAACUUAAAGACUUCAAUUCAAUUCAAUUUUAUUUGUAUAGCGCUUUUUACAAUAGACAUCGUCUCAAAGCAGCUUUACAGAAAUAUCAACACUGGUAUACAGAUAUUAAAGGUGUGAAUUUAUCCCCACUGAGUGAGCCGGUGGUGACGGUGGCAAGGAAAAACUCCCUAAGAUGUUUUAAGAGGAAGAAACCUUGAGAGGAACCCGACUCAGAAGGGAACCCGUCCUCAUCUGGUUUUAGAUCUUCAAACGAAAUACAACAUGAAACAAAGGCAACCCUGUGAUGGACUGGCACCCUGUGAGGGUGUACCCCACCUUGUGCCCCACGAUCCAGGUUCCCUGUGACCCUGAAAAGGAUAAGCGGUAGAAGAUGGAUGGAUGGAUGGACAAAGGCGACCUGAAUGUUACGGGACCCCUGUCUUCCAACUUUCCACUCAUCAGUCCACUGAACAUUCUCCCAAAAGGUUUGAGGAUCAUCAAGGUGUGCUUUGGCAAAAUUCAGACGAGUCUUAAUGUUCUUCUGGGUUAGCAGUGGUUUUCACCUCACAGCUCUUCCAUGGUUGCCAUUUUCCCCCAGUGUCUUUCUGAUAGUGAACCUUUCAUGAACCUUUAUUGAUGCAAGAGCGGCCUGUAGGUCAUUUGAUGUUGUCCUUGGUUCUUUUGUGACUUCCUGGAUGAGUCGUCAAUUUUGGAAGGUCGGACACUACUGGGAAGGUUCAAUAUUGUGCAGAGUUUUUCCAUUUGGAGAUAACGGCUCUCACUGUGGUUCUUUGGAGUCCCAGAGCCUUUGAAAUAGCACUGUACUUUAUCCUGAGCUGCUGUCAACUAAUCCAUGAGCUGACUCUGUUUUUCUAGUUAAAUCUGACAAAAUAUGAUCAGUUAAACUGCACCGACCAGAGGUCUCCAAGCAUGUUCCUGCACAUCUACCUUCCUGAAGACGUUAGCUCUAACGAUAAUCAUACCCACCUGACCAUCUGCAGUAAUCGCUGCUUUAAGAAGUUCUCGAUCAACUAAAACAGGUGUGUUCGAUUUUGGUUGGAUAUGAAACCUGCAGGAAGGUCGAUCUCAAGGAAGAUAGUUGGUGAGCACUGGUCUAGACAGUAUAAGCACUAUCGCUUAUCUACACCACCAGAGGGCGACCUGUCUACACCACCAGAGAUAUCACCAGCGAUAUCUACACCACCAGAGGGCGAUCUAAUCCAGCAUCUGACUUUCUUCCUCUGCGUUCUGACUCACUUCCACCAAAACAAACCUGAACACGUGUUAAUGGUGUGUGAGAUGUUUAUCCACAAGGUGACGCUGUUGUAAAGGACCCUAACUUUCCCGUUAGUGUGAAU
ensembl:lncRNA